rnacentral:lncRNA from 1 species
AUGAAUUGUGUAUAAGUUAAGGUUACUCGACCUUGGAGAAUAGUGUGUAAAGUUUAUUGUAUAAACAAUUUAUGUUUAUAUCUUCUGCAAUAGUUAUAGAAUGAUUGUACCAGAUCCGUGGUGAUUUGGGACCCAGAUUUGGGGCUCUCACAAUUCCAACAUAAUAAUAACGAAUGUAAUAACAACCCUUAUGAGUAUUGAAAGAAAAUAACUCUCUUCAUGAAUUCGAAAG